rnacentral:rRNA from 1 species
GACGAACCGUGCGAACGUUGUUCGGAAUCACUGGGCUUAAAGGGCGCGUAGGCGGGCUCACAAGUCAGGGGUGAAAUCCCACGGCUCAACCGUGGAAGUGCCUUUGAUACUGUGGGUCUUGAGGGAGGUAGGGCGUGCGGAACUUCCGGUGGAGCGGUGAAAUGCGUAGAUAUCGGAAGGAACACCGGUGGCGAAAGCGGCGCGCUGGACCUCUACUGACGCUGAGGCGCGAAAGCCAGGGGAGCAAAGCGGG